rnacentral:lncRNA from 1 species
GGAAUUAAGUCCUCACAAGAAUAGACUCUUGUCACCUCUUCGCUGUUCUGCACCAAUGUCGCUACAUAAUUCUCUGGUGAAACCAGAGAGACAGUCCAAAUGUUUUGAGUUUGGGAAGCUACAGCCUUCUUCUUCUCAGUCACUGGAUGUUCAAAACAUAACUGAUUCUUCUUUCUCUAGGACUACUUGCUUUCAAGGUGUUAAAGUUGAUUCACUUGGGAAAAGAUCUGAUGUUAUUUCCAAAGUUGAGGCUCGGGAUAUCACAGAAAUGACUAACAAGGCUUCCAAAGAGCCUGUUGGUUGUGUAAAUAAUAUCAGUUUUCUUGCCUCACUGGCCGGGAGCACAAGCAGAAAUAGAUUACAGAGCACACGUGGGGCAGGCAGGCUUCAGAACUCUGGAACUGGGCUGUCUACAAACCUCCAGCAUUUUCAGGAAGAAAACUUUAGGAAAAGUUCUCCCCAGUUAGAACAUACAGGAGUUUUUUUGGAGAAUGUACUACUCAUCACCUCCCACCUGUGAAAGCCCCUCUUCAGACAAAGAAGAAAACAACAAAUCAUUGUUUUCUUUGUGGAAAGAAAACAGGACUGGCUAGUAGCUACGAAUGCAGAUGUGGAAACAACUUCUGUGCAUCUCAUCGUUAUGCAGAAACUCAUGGCUGUACCUAUGAUUACAAGAGUGCAGGGAGGAGAUACUUGCACGAGGCAAAUCCUGUGGUUAAUGCACCAAAGCUUCCAAAAAUCUAACUCUUCCUCUACAUCUUACUGUUCUGCCCGGGAUUCGUAUUAUAAUGACAGAAGAAAUGUUGUUUAGACUAUUAUUUUUGUUCGACUCUAAAAGAUUUGCCAAAUAACAAAAGCAUACAAUGCAUACUGUUGGAGAACAAGAAUGCUACUGUAUUUUACAUCUUUAUUUCUUGGUGAAACAAAAGUUUUAAAAGUAGUUUUAAC